rnacentral:rRNA from 1 species
AUUGAACGCUGGCGGCAGGCCUAACACAUGCAAGUCGAACGAGUGGCGGACGGGUGAGUAAUGUCUGGGAAACUGCCUGAUGGAGGGGGAUAACUAAUGGAAACGGUAGCUAAUACCGCAUACUAUCAGAUGACCCUAGGUGGGAUUAGCUAGUUGGGGGGGUAAAGGCCUACCAAGGCGAAGAUCCGUAACUGGUCUGAGAGGAUGAGAAGUCACACUGGAACUGAGAAACGGUCCAGACUCCUACGGGAGGCAGCAGUGGGGAAUAUUGUACAAUGGGCGAAAGCCUGAUCCAGCCAGGCCGCGUGUGUGAAGAAGGUCUUCGGAUUGUAAAGCACUUUAAGUUGGGAGGCGUUACCAACAGAAUAAGCACCGGCUAACUUCGUGCCAGCAGCCGCGGUAAUUC